GCCGACAGUCACCGCGGUUUCCUGCUUCACCUGUGCUUGGAGGGAACUGGCGCUUUUCCCGUGCCCCAGCGGCUGGCGGCUCAGAGCCAGAGCUUCCACCUCCUCACCGUGCGCUGGGACCGCCCUGAGGCCCCCGGUCAACCUGGCGCUCCAGCCUCCUCCAUCUACCUGUCCACAUCUGAUGCUUUCACCGCCAUAACGUAGCUUUGAGGAAUUUUGCCAAAAACUUAUUUCUUCACUAAUCUCAUGAGGAGAGGGAGCCCGCUGAGAAACCGAUGAAGCUGCAGAAACAACGAAGGGGCGGAGUCUUCCUUCAGGAGUCAAGACACCAGGCGGAGAACCGGCUGAAUGCGAUGGAGUGUGUCUUACACUUGGAAAACACGUGAAUCGGUCACUAUUGGAACUGCGUAAAAACGGCUCCCGCUUGUGUCACCUUAUUGAGACACAUUACCUCAAUGAACCAGUGAAAUCCAUCAAAGAAUUGGGUGUCCACGUGACCAACUUGUGCAGGACGAGAGCC
rnacentral:lncRNA from 1 species